UUCACAUACCUUAAAUUUUAAAAUUUGUUUCUUUGUGCACAAUUUUUCUCACAGUUAUACCCCUUUUUUUCCGGAUCGCAGGUAAGCGACGGGCGGUCGAGCGGCGAUCGCAGGUCGGCGGCGCGCGGCCGCCGGCUUGGUCUUCCUCAGCGCGUCGGGCGCAGGCGGCGGGGUCCCUCCAGCUUCCUCCGAUGGCGGGCGACAGUGACUGCCUGUUUUAGCGGCGUGCGUCGGGCUCGGCGGGGCCAUCCACUACCCGGAUCCGGCGGCGGCGGCCGUCCCUCGCCCGGCCCCGCACAGAUCCACUAGGGGCUGCGGGAGGAGAGCCCAGGGGCAGUCUCGGCGAUGGCUGGCGGACGACGGUCGUGCACCGGGUGGAGUCCGGUGGUGGGCGGCGCAGCCGCUCACUUCUUUCUGCCUGCUGCCGUCAUCGUGGUUGUCCUCCACCAGCUCGCCGUGUGGCUGCCGCCUUCUCCCCACACCGCCGCCGAUGGACGUCGACUCCGACUCGGCCGCCGGGGGCAAGCCCACCCAGAUGGACCUCGGGGACUAGGAACUCUAGUUCGUCCCAAUCUCAAUUUACAGUGUCGAUGCCGAAGUGGAGGAGCUCCGUUUUUGUUUUGAUUUUCAAUUUCGUGCUCCAAGGAUCUGCAGCUCAUCCCCAUCUAUCAAUUAAAAUUUUCAUGAACGCCAGACCUUAAUAGAGACUCGGAUUUUAUAGUUUCUGAAAAUGUACUGCCUUUCUUAUCUUAUAAACAUGUAUUAUUGCUGAUGUACCAGUAAUGCUUGCCAAGACACAAAAACUUUAAUGAAUUCAACUAUGCAAGCGGCGAGUCCGUUUGACAGCUGGUUUCAUAUUUUAAGAUACCACUCAGUCAAAUUCUUGUGGUAAAUAUUGUCAAUUUGUCAUUGCUCCCAUCAUCUACUACUGCUACUACUACAUCAUUAGCUUCUUGUAUCUGAAAUUGAAACACAUUUUUCACCUUCCACAUUGGGAUAUCUAGAAACCAAUAGGAUUUUUUAUUCAUAAUAAUGUGUUCUUGAGGGGUGCAUAUCUAGAGAUGCAAGUGAGGACUGGAGUUCCUUAGUUUUGAGAUGCAUGAAUAUUUUCUCGAGAAGUACAGUAAUUUUGCUUUUGCAUUUGUAUUUUCUUCAUCAUUGAGUUCUCCCAGGAGCUUUUUCUACUUGAGAUUUAGCUCUUGUUCUGAAACUUUGGGAUCAACAGAGCAAUUUAAGUGGAAUUGUUCUCGUGAUUUUGAUGCCAGCCUAUCUAAAAUACAUUUUGUUUUCUGAGCAGUACAGAUGCAUGAGCAGUACAUACUUCUGCGGCAGUAAACGCAGAUAUGUCCAUGAUGAAUUUUCGGGCUCUGAUUCAUUGAUAGUGCUAGUAAUAUCAGAACUUAUUUGAUGGACUAGCUGUUCACAUCUGAUGCAUUUGUUGCAUUUCUUGGCCUUUUGUGUUCUCAAUGAACAAAUAUGUUUGAAUGGAUUCCUCUUAUACAUGUGUCCUCAAUGAUUUUAUCUGUAGAUUUUUAGGAAAAAACUGUUGUUAGGCUAGUAGUUUUCUGAAAUUUUCUGCUUCAACAGAGGAGCUCGAAUGAUGCCUGAAAUGCUGAACUUCUGUUUUUUUUAGUACUGCCACAUGAGCACUGAAAUUGUCUAGUUCAAUAGAGCAUUGUUGAUCGGUUAGUAUUUUUCUGAAAUACCCUAGUUCUUGUAGAGCAGCACAAAUGAAUUUUCUUUGAUCCUUCACUGAAUCAGUUAGCCAUAUGAUCUUAAUCCUUCACUGAAUCAGUUAGCCACAUCCUUCACUGAAUCUGUAGAGCUGUUUUUUGUCAUCUCAUUUGUGUGGUUUUGUUAGUACUUUAAUUAAAUCGAAGUCAGGGCAUAUUCUCUAACAAUUGUGCCUAGAUGUUCCUUUGCGCUGAACGUAUUGUUGUUGCUUAAACAUCAAGGUAUUCCUUAGUCUCCUUUGCUCUCUGACUAUACAUAUUCCAGAUAAAUUUAUAGCUGCUAUGGCACUUGUGAAGAGUGUCAAUUGGUGGUAAUAUCACGGGCUGUUAUCUGAACGGAAUAGCUGAUGGUGAUUCUGAUACUAUCAGAGACCAUAUGGACACCGUCGCUCACCGAACACUGCCGGUCGCCACAUCCCCAUUUCUCUGCUGCCACAGUCGCUGCUUACUGAAUGCUGGAAUGUGUGUUAAUUUUUUUUAUUCUUGAAUUGUUGUGGUGAUGUGUCUGUAAAAUUAUCACUUCUGUGCAGCUUCGUUGUGAUUUAAUGUGCAUUUCAGUGUAAUAAUCAUUUUUUUAAUUUUUCAUCUAUCGAUGUAUAUCUUGGAGAAAGUUUACUGAUAUUACCUUUCCUGACAAAAGGCGUAAAUAAAUUACCAACACUCUCUUUUA